ACCCUUCUGCAUAAAACGAAGUCUGCUAUAAUUGUGUGACUCAAAUUUUUGUUUCAUGCAAUAAUGCUAGCAGAGUAUUGCGUGGAAGGAGAUCAAAACUCACUGUACUGAAAAUGGGAUGUGGUCGAACCUCUUUCUUAAUGUUCAUUGGCCUCUGUCUCAAGGUGCAGUGACACAACU
ensembl:snoRNA SNORA81 small nucleolar RNA, H/ACA box 81